CGGGGGUAGAUGUUUAUGUUGCUACUAAACUGAAGGGAGCACUAUUUCUAUUUCUCUUUUGUGAGCAAUAAGAGUUGUACAUUCUUUCUAAGAAAAACAAAAAACAAGGGACCUAACGAAACUGAGCAGUGUUACUGUCUCUAAUACACAUCU